rnacentral:rRNA from 1 species
UUACCCACUCCCAGCACGGGGAGGUAGUGACGAAAAAUAACGAUACGGGACUCAUCCGAGGCCCCGUAAUCGGAAUGAGUACAUUGUAAAAACAUCCCCAAAGAUCAAUUGGAGGGUAAGUCUGGUGCCAGCAGCCGCGGUAAUUCCAGCUCCAAUAGCGUAUAUUAAAGUUGUUGCGGUUAAAAAGCUCGUAGUCGAAUCUGUGUCCCGCGCCGCUGGUUCAUCGCUCGCGGUGUUCAACUGGCGUGUCUCGCGGGACGUCCUGCCGGUGGGCUCGCGUAUCGCUUGCGGUGCGUGGCCCAACUCGUUUCCGUCUCGCGCGGUUAUGAAUCCCAUCGCGGUGCUCUUUAUUGAGUGUCGAGGUGGGCCGGCACGUUUACUUUGAACAAAUUAGAGUGCUUAAAGCAGGCCAAUUUUGCCUGAAUAUUGUGUGCAUGGAAUAAUGAAAUAGGACCUCGGUUCUAUUUUGUUGGUUUUCGGAACCCCGAGGUAAUGAUUAAUAGGAACGGAUGGGGGCAUUCGUAUUGCGACGUUAGAGGUGAAAUUCUUGGAUCGUCGCAAGACGGACAGAAGCGAAAGCAUUUGCCAAAAACGUUUUCAUUGAUCAAGAACGAAAGUUAGAGGUUCGAAGGCGAUCAGAUACCGCCCUAGUUCUAACCAUAAACGAUGCCAGCUAGCGAUCCGCCGACGUUCCUCCGAUGACUCGGCGGGCAGCUUCCGGGAAACCAAAGCUUUUGGGUUCCGGGGGAAGUAUGGUUGCAAAGCUGAAACUUAAAGGAAUUGACGGAAGGGCACCACCAGGAGUGGAGCCUGCGGCUUAAUUUGACUCAACACGGGACACCUCACCAGGCCCGGACACCGGAAGGAUUGACAGAUUGAUAGCUCUUUCUUGAUUCGGUGGGUGGUGGUGCAUGGCCGUUCUUA